rnacentral:rRNA from 1 species
AGUGAACGCUGGCGGUAGGCCUAACACAUGCAAGUCGAACGGCAGCACAGUAAGAGCUUGCUCUUACGGGUGGCGAGUGGCGGACGGGUGAGGAAUACAUCGGAAUCUACUUUUUCGUGGGGGAUAACGUAGAGAAACUUACGCUAAUACCGCAUACGACCUACGGGUGAAAGCAGGGGAUCUUCGGACCUUGCGCGAUUGAAUGAGCCGAUGUCGGAUUAGCUAGUUGGCGGGGUAAAGGCCCACCAAGGCGACGAUCCGUAGCUGGUCUGAGAGGAUGAUCAGCCACACUGGAACUGAGACACGGUCCAGACUCCUACGGGAGGCUGCAGUGGGGAAUAUUGGACAAAGGGCGCAAGCCUGAUCCAGCCAUACCGCGUGGGUGAAGAAGGCCUUCGGGUUGUAAAGCCCUUUUGUUGGGAAAGAAAAGCAGCAGGUUAAUACCCCGCUGUUCUGACGGUACCCAAAGAAUAAGCACCGGCUAACUUCGUG